CGAUAGAUCAAUGUAGGUAAGGGAA
rnacentral:miRNA from 1 species